AUUUGUCUGGUUAAUUCCGAUAACGAACGAGACCUUAACCUGCUAACUAGAUUCAUCAGUAUUACUUUUGAUAUCUUCUUAGAGGGACUAUGUAAAACAAAUACGUGGAAGUUUGAGGCAAUAACAGGUCAGUGAUGCCCUUAUAUGUCCUGGGCUGCACGCGUGCUACACUGAUGCAUACAACAAGUGCCUAACCAGACAUGGUAUGGCAAUCUCGAAUAUGCAUCGAUAUGGGGAUAGAUCUUUGCAAUUAUAGAUCUUGAACGAGGAAUUCCUAGUAAGUGCAAGUCAUCAUCUUGCAUUGAUUAUGUCCCUGCCCUUUGUACACACCGCCCGUCGCUCCUACCGAUACCGGGUGAUCCGGUGAACCUUUUGGACUCUUUACUGGGAAAGAUAAGUAAACCAUAUCACCUAGAGGAAGGAGAAGUCGUAACAAGGUUUCCGUAUGUGAACCUGCRGAAGGAUCA
rnacentral:rRNA from 1 species